CUAUGAUCACACAAAGGGCAUAAAAAAAUCAAGGAUCUUAUUACAUGCUAUUCUAAGGGGAUGAUGUAUUGUCAACUUGCCCGUAUAAGAGCAGACUAAAAUAUUUUUUAAAGGUUAGACUAGCAAAACCUGUAGGUAAUUUAAGGAGGGGUUUUAGUAAUUAUUCACUACCAUAAAACAGUUUAAUAGUGAUUCCAGUCUGCUUAAAUAUCAAGGAAUGCAGUUAGUUAGAAGAAUUAUUGGC